GGACGACUAGGAAUCGACCAACAAGGAUUCCUCGCAAAACGUGUCUCUGGAGCGGAGACGUUGGGGCCAGAUUUGAGCUGUUUGUUCCAGACCAGGACACUGCCUGAGGAGAGCUGAUGGAGGAGCCAAGACUCUGGAGGACGACAUCACUCCACCAACAAGGAUCCUC